GUUUGGUUAAGUUAGAAAGGGCGCACGGUGGAUGCCUUGACACUAGGAGUCGAUGAAGGACGGGACUAACGCCGAUAUGCUUCGGGGAGCUGUAAGUAAGCUUUGAUCCGAAGAUUUCCGAAUGGGGAAACCCACCAUACGUAAUGGUAUGGUAUCCUUAUCUGAAUACAUAGGGUAAGGAAGACAGACCCAGGGAACUGAAACAUCUAAGUACCUGGAGGAAGAGAAAGCAAAUGCGAUUUCCUGAGUAGCGGCGAGCGAAACGGAACAUAGCCCAAACCAAGAGGCUUGCCUCUUGGGGUUG
rnacentral:rRNA from 1 species